rnacentral:lncRNA from 1 species
GAGGUCCUGCCUUGAGCUCAAGCAUGUCCAUGUCGACCCACCACGACAGGUAGCAUCUCCAUCUCCCUCUCAUCUUCCUCUGCUCGCUACUACUGCUAAGUUAAGGAAUAGUUGAUGCAAUCCUGGUUGUGUCAAGGAAUUCAAGAAGGAUUUGUAUGAACAAGUCCAGUUUAUUUAUUUAUUUAGUUAGUACCAAACACACACAUACACACACACACACAGAAGAUGAGCUCCAGAUUGGUCAAUUUUGCUGCUACCACAUUGAUUUGUAUCUGUGCAAGCAUCUCCAUGCUGUUUGUAUUGUUUGGAUUGCAAGAAAUAUAGUUUUGGGUGACCUGCACUUAGUUUAACUUCUCUAAAAAAUCAACCAUUUGACAUAAAUAUGUUGUGUACAUUUUGAACCCCCCCAUCAUGACACAAUUGAUAUGUAUAUGCAGCAGGGCAAUACAUAGCAUUAUAAGUUAAAUUCUUGCUUGCUCUGUUUGUUAAUCCUUGCUUAUUUAUUUGUUUGGUUUGGAUGCAGCAGGUGCCGUCCUUCCAUGGACGAGGAGGACAACGACCUGGACCUCGACGGCGACGUUGUCAACCCCGCACAAGGUCGCUCGCACCCAAUAAGCAUUUUUUGUCAAGUUACCGCUGCUUUGUUUUUGCAAUUCGCUUGUUGUUCAGUAAACUAGUCAAUAGUGUUUGUGAGCAUAGCCUCCUUGUUCACCAAAUGAAGAAUCCUCCCAAGAAUUUGACCAUUUUCAUUUGUAAAUAUGAAUGGCCACUACUGUUUCUAGUUUUAGGUUUGGAUGAGAUGUGUGUUUGCAUGCUUGUGCUUAUGUGGUUGAUGAUCACCUAUGUAUUGGUGUUGCUGGUUUUGGUCAUGAAGUUUCUGUUAUGUAUAUUGAAAUUGCAACCCAAUGAGAGAAUUAGUAUUAGAAUGCUGCAUGUUUAUUAGGAUGUGGCUGAAACCAUUGGAUGACCUUCCUGGACAUGUUUUGUUGCUAUCAAUAUUUGUCCCAUGUUUUGUUUCCUUGCAUACUUAUUACCACAAUCUUUACUACUGCUAUUGUCGUAUCUACUAGUUGUGGUUACCUCAAAUUGACUAGUUUUGUAGAAUAUCUCUGUUCACAUGUACACUACAACACCUUUGUACUAGUGUUGUUGUUGUUGUUUGGCAAACACCAGAGGCAAAUCAUAUUUGUCAUGCAGUUUUUGUAACUUGGCAUUUCUAUAUGGCAUGUUUAUAUUAUUAUACAUUGUGGUGUUCCAUACAUUUGUUGUUGGUUGAACAUGAUCAUUGGUUCGAUAUAAAAGUAGAACUGUUCAUUGAUAGUUUAAUGCUCCAGCAUUCAUGACACUCCCUUCAUGCUUGCUGACCCACACCUUGCUCGGUUGUUCUCACAGUCCUGAUGAGGCCAUGAUGCUUACCUUGCUGGAGCGUAUCAACCCCGACCAUGGCACCACAUUCACAGUCUUGAGGUAGCCGUGCUGCAACUGCAUCAACG